AGAGUUCUGGCUUCGUAGGUGACCUGCGGAAGGAUCAUUA
rnacentral:rRNA from 1 species